GAGUACGAAGGUGCGCUCAGCGUGGUCGGAAAUCACGCGUAGAGUAUAAAGGCAAAAGCGCGCUUAACUGCGAGACCCACAAGUCGAGCAGGUACGAAAGUAGGUCUUAGUGAUCCGGUGGUUCUGUAUGGAAGGGCCAUCGCUCAACGGAUAAAAGGUACUCUGGGGAUAACAGGCUGAUACCGCCCAAGAGUUCAUAUCGACGGCGGUGUUUGGCACCUCGAUGUCGGCUCAUCUCAUCCUGGGGCUGAAGCAGGUCCCAAGGGUAUGGCUGUUCGCCAUUUAAAGAGGUACGCGAGCUGGGUUUAGAACGUCGUGAGACAGUUCGGUCCCUAUCUACCGUGGGCGCUGGAAAUUUGAGAGGAUCUGCUCCUAGUACGAGAGGACCAGAGUGGACGAACCUCUGGUGUACCGGUUGUGACGCCAGUCGCAUCGCCGGGUAGCUAUGUUCGGAAGGGAUAACCGCUGAAAGCAUCUAAGCGGGAAGCCUACCUCAAGAUAAGAUUUCCCUAGGACUUUAUGUCCUCUAAAGAGCCGUUCGAGACUAGGACGUUGAUAGGUUGGAUGUGGAAGCAUAGUGAUAUGUGAAGCUGACCAAUACUAAUUGCUCGUGAGGCUUGACUAUACAACACCCAAGCAGUUG
rnacentral:rRNA from 1 species